CACGUAGGGUGCGAGCGUUGUCCGGAUUUAUUGGGCGUAAAGAGCUCGUAGGCGGUUCAGUAAGUCGGGUGUGAAAACUCUGGGCUCAACCCAGAGACGCCACCCGAUACUGCUGUGACUUGAGUACGGUAGGGGAGUGGGGAAUUCCUGGUGUAGCGGUGAAAUGCGCAGAUAUCAGGAGGAACACCAGUGGCGAAGGCGCCACUCUGGGCCGUAACUGACGCUGAGGAGCGAAAGCGUGGGUAGCAAACAGG
rnacentral:rRNA from 1 species